GUGUCAGCCGCCGCGGUAAGACGUAGGGUCCGAGCGUUGUCCGGAUUUACUGGGCGUAAAGAGCGCGUAGGCGGAUCGUUAAGUGUGAAGUGAAAUCUCCAGGGCUCAACCCGGAAACUGCUUCGCAUACUGGCGAUCUGGAGGAAUGGAGAGGUGAGUGGAAUUCCUGGUGUACCGGUGAAAUGGGUAGAUAUCAGGAGGAACACCCAUGGCGAAGGCAGCUCACUGGCCAUUAUCUGACGCUGAGGCGCGAAAGCGUGGGUAGCAAACAGGAUUAGAUACCCUCGUAGUCC
rnacentral:rRNA from 1 species